UGUUGAAACGGAUGUAGCGAUGGUCGG
rnacentral:sRNA from 1 species